rnacentral:tRNA from 1 species
AUCUAAUUAGUAUAAUUUUGUAUAUUAAGCCUCCAACUUAAAGGUUUUAAAAAAUAAAAUUAGAUA